UGGGGAAUAUUGCACAAUGGGCGAAAGCCUGAUGCAGCGACGCCGCGUGAGUGAAGAAGUAUUUCGGUAUGUAAAGCUCUAUCAGCAGGGAAGAAAAUGACGGUACCUGACUAAGAAGCCCCGGCUAACUACGUGCCAGCAGCCGCGGUAAUACGUAGGGGGCAAGCGUUAUCCGGAUUUACUGGGUGUAAAGGGAGCGUAGACGGCGAAGCAAGUCUGAAGUGAAAACCCAGGGCUCAACCCUGGGACUGCUUUGGAAACUGUUUUGCUAGAGUGGCUGAGAAGUAAGGGGAAUUCCUAGUGUAGCGGUGAAAUGCGUAGAUAUUAGGAGGAACACCAGUGGCGAAGGCGGCUUACUGGACGAUAACUGACGUUGAGGCUCGAAAGCGUGGGGAGCAAACAGG
rnacentral:rRNA from 1 species